rnacentral:rRNA from 1 species
AUUGAACGCUGGCGGCAGGCCUAACACAUGCAAGUCGAGCGAGCGGCGGACGGGUGAGUAAUGUCUGGGAAACUGCCUGAUGGAGGGGGAUAACUACUGGAAACGGUAGCUAAUACCGCAUACCAUCAGAUGUGCCCCGAUGGGAUGCGCUAGUAGGUGGGGUAACGGCUCACCUAGGCGACGAUCCCUAGAUGGUCUGAGAGGAUGACCAGCAACACUGGAACUGGGACACGGUCCAGACUCCUGCGGGAGGCAGCAGUGGGGAAUAUUGCACAAUGGGCGCAAGCCUGAUGCAGCCAUGCCGCGUGUGGGAAGAAGGCCUUCGGGUUGUAAAGCACUUUCAGCGGGGAGGCGUUACCCGCAGAAGAAGCACCGGCUAACUCCGUGACAGCAGCCGCGGUAAUAC